GAGCUUUCUACAUUUUUCAUAAUCAAGUUUAUCGACGAACCUCACCAGCUUCUGCUCGUGCGUGAAGUGGGGAUAGUCCCCAUCAAAAUCGGGCUCCAUCUCCC
rnacentral:sRNA from 1 species